ACCUUAAAGAACAACUAGCCAACUCUAUAAAACGCAAUAUUUCAUUUCAUUCAUUUGGCUUUUUUCAUAUACCAAACAAGUUUUUCAGAGGUGAUAUCGUAUCUUGAUUUCAACAAUGAGUUACUACAACAACCAGUAUCAAGCUUCAGCAGGAGUAUAUCCUCCACCACCUACUUCAUAUCCACCAGCACCUGGUUCAUGUUAUCCACCAAAGCUCUUGGACAUGUGCUUUUAAGGACGAUGAAUGAUUCUUUGUAAAAUUUGCAGCUUAUAAUUGUUUCCCUUGUGUUUCUUGUCGCAAAUCAUAAUUAUUUUUGCUCUUUUUAUGUCACUGUACGUACUAUGUAUUCUUUAUUCACUCAAUAUCCUUCCUCUUUGAUUAAUAGGCAGGUAAUAUUUGGUA